AUACGGAGGGUGCGAGCGUUAAUCGGAAUUACUGGGCGUAAAGCGUACGUAGGCGGUUUGUUAAGUUAGAUGUGAAAGCCCCGGGCUUAACCUGGGAACUGCAUUUAAAACUGGCAGACUAGAGUUUGAUAGAGGAGAGUGGAAUUUCAGGUGUAGCGGUGAAAUGCGUAGAGAUCUGAAGGAACAUCAGUGGCGAAGGCGACUCUCUGGAUUAAAACUGACGCUGAGGUACGAAAGCGUGGGUAGCAAACAGGAUUAGAAACCCUAGUAGUCC
rnacentral:rRNA from 1 species